UAUUUUUAAUUUUUUUUUUUUAAUUUUUUUACGAUAUUAACAAACAUCAUGUUUCAGCAGCAGCUGGUACUGAUGGGUUGAGGAUGGAUGUAAAUGGUGCUGGUUGUUGUUGGUGCUAUUGAUGUGACUCUGGUAGCCAGCAUAAAGAGGUAUACAUACAUAAAGGAUGUGUGAUGCGCAUGCAUAAUUUUGUUUAUAUUUUUCUGCUUUUUAUUUACUCCGUCAUCGACACAUUUGGACGGUGAUUUUUGAAACAUUUAACAGGCGACUACGUGUGUCAUCUGUCGUAGACAACAAAUAAAAUUGUUUAAAUAUUCCAUAAACGUAAUUAAAAUUAAAUUAUAAACAAAAUAAUUAAAACAACAACAACAACUUCCAUAAUACAUAAUAUAAUUAGUCAGCAGCCAAAAGCGGAAGGAACCAGAA